UUGGCUGUCCCCUCGCGUGACUGUGGGCAUUUGAAAGCAGACUUCCGCCCGCCUUUUCUACCGUUGGAAAUGCAAGAUGCGGGCGACUUGACUUCAGACACCGAGAGAGGCUGGCGGCCCAGGUCUUGUGGCCACAUCUGUCCAAGCUCCUACUCUGAUUGAACAGUUGGAUGAUCAGACUGAUGAUGAAAAGUGCUACACAGUUCUCACACAUCUUCUACCUCCGAAGCCGCUGCAGUGUAAAAUCUGAGAUGUCUUUUCUGGUUGAUUUUGUGCAGGUAUGUUUCAAAGGAUAGUCACUUUUAAAACGUCUUUUAAUCUUUAAAAACACU